UGGGGAAUAUUGCACAAUGGGCGCAAGCCUGAUGCAGCCAUGCCGCGUGUGUGAAGAAGGCCUUCGGGUUGUAAAGCACUUUCAGCGGGGAGGAAGGCGUUAAGGUUAAUAACCUUGGCGAUUGACGUUACCCGCAGAAGAAGCACCGGCUAACUCCGUGCCAGCAGCCGCGGUAAUACGGAGGGUGCAAGCGUUAAUCGGAAUUACUGGGCGUAAAGCGAGCGCAGGCGGUUUCUUAAGUCUGAUGUGAAAGCCCCCGGCUCAACCGGGGAGGGUCAUUGGAACCUGGGAGACUUGAGUGCAGAAGAGGAGAGUGGAAUUCCAUGUGUAGCGGUGAAAUGCGUAGAUAUAUGGAGGAACACCAGUGGCGAAGGCGGCUCUCUGGUCUGUAACUGACGCUGAGGCUCGAAAGCGUGGGGAGCAAACAGG
rnacentral:rRNA from 1 species